AACGAACGCUGGCGGCAUGCCUAACACAUGCCAGUCGAACGAGACCUUCGGGUCUAGUGGCGCACGGGUGCGUAACGCGUGGGAACCUGCCCUUAGGUCCGGAAUAACUCCCCGAAAGGGGUGCUAAUACCGGAUAAUGUCUUCGGACCAAAGAUUUAUCGCCUUUGGAUGGGCCCGCGUUGGAUUAGCUAGUUGGUAGGGUAAAAGCCUACCAAGGCGACGAUCCAUAGCUGGUCUGAGAGGAUGAUCAGCCACACUGGGACUGAGACACGGCCCAGACUCCUACGGGAGGCAGCAGUGGGGAAUAUUGGACAAUGGGCGAAAGCCUGAUCCAGCAAUGCCGCGUGAGUGAUGAAGGCCUUAGGGUUGUAAAGCUCUUUUACCCGGGAUGAUAAUGACAGUACCGGGAGAAUAAGCUCCGGCUAACUCCGUG
rnacentral:rRNA from 1 species